CCUACGGGAGGCAGCAGUGGGGAAUAUUGCACAAUGGGGGAAACCCUGAUGCAGCGACGCCGCGUGAGUGAAGAAGUAAUUCGGUAUGUAAAGCUCUAUCAGCAGGGAAGAAAAUGAAGGUACCUGAGUAAGAAGCCCCGGCUAACUACGUGCCAGCGGCCGCGGCAAAACGGAGGGGGCAAGCGUUAUCCGGAUUUACUGGGUGUAAAGGGAGCGUAGACGGAAGUGCAAGUCUGGAGUGAAAGGGGGGGGCUCAACCCGCGGACUGCUCUGGAAACUGUACGGAUGGAGUGCAGGAGAGGUAAGUGGAAUUCCUAGUGUAGCGGUGAAAUGCGUAGAUAUUAGGAGGAACACCAGUGGCGAAGGCGGCUUACUGGACUGUAACUGACGUUGAGGCUCGAAAGCGUGGGGAGCAAACAGGAUUAGAUACCCCAGUAGUC
rnacentral:rRNA from 1 species